rnacentral:rRNA from 1 species
UGGGGAAUAUUGGACAAUGGGCGCAAGCCUGAUCCAGCCAUGCCGCGUGAGUGAUGAAGGCCCUAGGGUUGUAAAGCUCUUUCAGCGAGGAGGAUAAUGACGUUACUCGCAGAAGAAGCCCCGGCUAACUUCGUGCCAGCAGCCGCGGUAAUACGAAGGGGGCUAGCGUUGUUCGGAAUCACUGGGCGUAAAGCGCACGUAGGCGGACUUUUAAGUCAGGGGUGAAAUCCCGGGGCUCAACCUCGGAACUGCCUUUGAUACUGGAAGUCUGGAGUCCGAGAGAGGUGAGUGGAACUCCGAGUGUAGAGGUGAAAUUCGUAGAUAUUCGGAAGAACACCAGUGGCGAAGGCGGCUCACUGGCUCGGUACUGACGCUGAGGUGCGAAAGCGUGGGGAGCAAAACAGGAUUAGAUACCCUGGUAGUCCACGCCGUAAACGAUGGAAGCUAGCCGUCGGGGUGCAUGCAUCUUGGUGGCGCAGUUAACGCAUUAAGCUUCCCGCCUGGGGAGUACGGUCGCAAGAUUAAAACUUAAAGGAAUUGACGGGGUCAUAGCUGUUUCCU